AUUGAACGCUGGCGGCAUGCCUUACACAUGCAAGUCGAACGGUAACAGGUUAAGCUGACGAGUGGCGAACGGGUGAGUAAUAUAUCGGAACGUGCCCAGUUGUGGGGGAUAACUACUCGAAAGAGUGGCUAAUACCGCAUACGACCUGAGGGUGAAAGCGGGGGAUCGCAAGACCUCGCGCAAUUGGAGCGGCCGAUAUCAGAUUAGCUAGUUGGCGGGGUAAAAGCCCACCAAGGCGACGAUCUGUAGCUGGUCUGAGAGGACGACCAGCCACACUGGGACUGAGACACGGCCCAGACUCCUACGGGAGGCAGCAGUGGGGAACUUUGGACAAUGGACGCAAGUCUGAUCCAGCCAUGCCGCGUGCGGGAAGAAGGCCUUCGGGUUGUAAACCGCUUUUGUCAGGGAAGAAACGCUCUGGGUUAAUACCCUGGGGUAAUGACGGUACCUGAAGAAUAAGCACCGGCUAACUACGUGCCAGCAGCCGCCGUAAUAC
rnacentral:rRNA from 1 species